CUAUACAUGCAGUCGAACGGGAUUGCGGUAGUAGCUUGCUACUACUGCAUGAGAGUGGCGCACGGGUGCGUAACGCGUGAGCAACCUACCCUUGUCAGGGGGAUAGCCCGGCGAAAGUCGGAUUAACACCGCAUAAUAUGGGGAUAUGGCAUCAUAUAUCCAUCAAAUAUUUAUAGGACAGGGAUGGGCUCGCGUGACAUUAGCUAGUUGGUAAGGUAACGGCUUACCAAGGCGACGAUGUCUAGGGGCUCUGAGAGGAGAAUCCCCCACACUGGUACUGAGACACGGACCAGACUCCUACGGGAGGCAGCAGUAAGGAAUAUUGGUCAAUGGGCGGGAGCCUGAACCAGCCAUGCCGCGUGCAGGAAGACUGCCCUAUGGGUUGUAAACUGCUUUUGUACGGGAAUAAACCUCAUUUCGUGAAGUGAGUUGAAUGUACCGUAAGAAUAAGGAUCGGCUAACUCCGUGCCAGCAGCCGCGGUAAUACGGAGGAUCCGAGCGUUAUCCGGAAUUAUUGGGUUUAAAGGGUGCGUAGGCGGCCUGAUAAGUCAGGGGUGAAAGACGGUGGCUCAACCAUCGCAGUGCCUUUGAUACUGUCGGGCUUGAAUGUAGUUGAGGUGGGCGGAAUGAGACAAGUAGCGGUGAAAUGCAUAGAUAUGUCUCAGAACACCGAUUGCGAAGGCAGCUCACUAAAUUAUGAUUGACGCUGAGGCACG
rnacentral:rRNA from 1 species